rnacentral:rRNA from 1 species
GGAAGGAUCAUUAUCGUACAAAAUGCGAGAAGGCAUGCGAGGGCUGUCGCUGACUCAAAAGUCGUGCACGCCGGAGUGUGUUCUCUCGCAUAAUCAAUCAAUCCAUCUCACCCCUUUGUGCAUCACCGCGUGGGCACCCUUCGGGAUUGUCUCGGAGGGGGCUCACGUUUUCACACAAACCCCCCCCCCUUUUAAAAGUGUAGAAUGACCUCAUUUAUGCGCUAACCCGCAAUCAAUACAACUUUCAACAACGGAUCUCUUGGCUCUCGCAUCGAUGAAGAACGCAGCGAAAUGCGAUACGUAAUGUGAAUUGCAGAAUUCAGUGAAUCAUCGAAUCUUUGAACGCACCUUGCGCCCCUUGGUAUUCCGAGGGGCACACCCGUUUGAGUGUCGUGAAAACCUCAACCUCCUUGGUUUCUUCUGGAGACCAAAGAAGGCUUGGACUUUGGAGGCCUUUGCUGGCACCUCUCUUUUGAAGGCCAGCUCCUCUUAAACAAAUUAGCAGGGUCCUCUUUGCUGAUCCUUGACAUGUGAUAAGAUGUUUCCAUGUCUUGGUUUCUGGCUCUGUCACCUUUGGGACCCGCUUCUAACCGUCUUGACCUUGCAUCGAGACAACGUUCGAGCAUGUCUCCCUUUCUCGGGAAGCUCCCUCGACCCCACGAACCCCUUGACCUCAAAUCGGGUGAGACUACCCGCUGAACUUAAGCAUAUCAAUAAGCGGAGGAAAAGAAACUAACAAGGAUUCCCCUAGUAACUGCGAGUGAAGCGGGAAAAGCUCAAAUUUAAAAUCUGGCGGUCUUUGGCUGUCCGAGUUGUAAUUUAGAGAAGCGUCUUCCGCGCUGGACCGUGCACAAGUCUCCUGGAAUGGAGCGUCAUAGAGGGUGAGAAUCCCGUCUUUGGCACGGACACCUGG